UACGGGGGUGAGCGAGCGUUAGUCCGGAAUCACUGGGCGUAAAGGGCGCGUAGGUGGCCUGAUAAGGUGUGGUGAAAGUCCGGGGCUCAACCCCGGAUCUGCCGUGCCGACUGUGGCUGGAGUACUGGUAGGGGCAGGCGGAAGUUCCGGGUGUAGCGGUGGAAUGACGUAGAGAUCCGGAGGAAUACCUAUGGCGAAAGCAGGCUUCUGGGCCGUCACUGACGCUGAUCGCGAAAGCUAGGGGAGCAAACAGG
rnacentral:rRNA from 1 species